UGUCUGUUCUUUCAUGAUAAUAGAGUGUC
rnacentral:piRNA from 1 species